CAUCAUCUCUUGAUGGGCGGCGAAUUUGGUGUUCCUGCUGUGAUGAUUCACCACUGCUUUGCCCAUGAGAUCGCCUGAUAGCCUCCAAUUCAGCCCUCAAUUUUUCAUUCUCUUUUUGAAGAGCAGAAACACUACCCACAAUUUGGCUGAACUGAGUUUACAUCUCAGUCCACUAAUCCAUAGAAGGCCCAGAACAAAAAGCACGAGUAGAUGUGGAUUUCUGCAUCCGAGGAAAUGAACCAAGACCACGAAUGGUCCUACCCUUCCUGCCAAGGUCCUCCGCCAUGAUCUGGAACUCUGAUUCCAAUGGCACCUCAAUGGAAUCAAAUGGAGUACCCUCAGGAGCCUUAUCAAUUAGCUUUGCCUUAAGGUCAUCUCGUUUCUGCUUCAUUUUUUGUUGUAAAGUAAAACCAUAAAGUAACCAAGUUACUUCCACAUUAAAUCUGAUACAUAUUAGCUAGGAUUCAAUCUGAAUUAUAAUAACUUGAAAUGGUAUUCAUAUUUUCUGUGCGUCAACAUUUACAAUAUGUAAUUGGAUUAUGCAAGUCAUACAUGGAGGACAAAUAGAAAAGACAGGAGAAAGGGCACCCAACCUACUUUUUUUUUUUUUUUUCCUGUUAUCUUUUUAUCUUUUUUCAAUGUUUCACCAAAUAACAUAACAAAGCAAUCAUUUCAUCAUAUUUACUCAUUAUUGACUUACAUGUUUCUCUUGGGCAGUCUCACUGAUCCAUUGUUGAUUCUUGUCUAGGUGUAGAUCCCCCCAGUUGUCAAUGAAAGAUGGGAGCUUUCCAUUCUUUGUAAAUUGAAAGAACAAAUGAGUAGUCAUCAAAACAACAAAUCAGUUUUUAAACAUCAAAUAUUGUACUUCUCUUUCAAUUUUCGUGUUCUAUUCAUUCCUUAUAACUUUCAUCAUAUAAAUUCAUUGUAUUAAACAGAAUUUAAAUUAACAGUUUAACUUUCAAUCAAAUACAUACUUUUGCUUUUGCUUGCACAUGUUG
rnacentral:lncRNA from 1 species